ensembl:lncRNA
GGCACAGACACUCCCGGCGCAGGUUGCUGUGCCCGGUUUUGCUCCUGGCUUUCUGUCCUUGCCAUGAGGCCCUGUCCUGCACCCCGCAGGGCUCUGCACAUGGGGUUCUGCAGCCCGUGUCAGUUCUCACAUCUUCAGGCCUGCCCGGCCUCGAUGGCGGCUCCUCACACAGCCACCACUCCAUGGUGAGUAACUGGAGCAGUGCUCACCUCUGUGAGGAUGCUUACUCACCCAGGAGCUGAGGUCUGACCGUGGCGACCAUGAUCUGCAGUAACAUCACGUGGAUGGGGCUGACAUCUCCCCUCCCUGCCCUGCAUGCACUGAAAGCCCUUGCAGGGCACACAUCAAACCCUCUGGGUGUGGAGGAGAAGUACUGUGCAUUGAUACUGCUAUAGCUAGGACCGGGGCUCAAUCCCGAGGAUGCUGCUGGAUAUAGACAGGAGAAACACACAGAAAUGAUGCUGCAAUCAAAUACAGAGUUUACUAUUACUCACAAAACUCAGAGCUGUGAAUUGGAAGCUUAUGACCCUCCCUCAAAUAAGCACUCCUCCACCUCUUCCUACUCCUCUGAGGAGUCAAUGGGGAGGAGUGUGCUUAAACUGUGAGCUCAGUGAGGAGUCUCCACCUGAUGGGCUCCGUGUGAUGCAGAUUUCAGCCCACAUUUCACUUCUCAUGGCUGAAAGAGCAACUGCCCCAACAACUUCCUCGUCUUUGUCUCCAGAACAGGCAGAUUCGUCCUGCAUUGACUGCACAGGUGAGGCUGAGAAGACCGUUUUCCUGCAGCUUGCAGACACAGUGAUGGAGCGUGGGGAUAUUUGCUCCCCCCCGUGGGACUGCCGCCAGUUACGCACUUUUCAGUGUAAGGCCCUUAAGUGGGUUUAGAAGAAAGAAGUGAUGAUGUCCCCUGUUUUGCUUUUGGUGCAUUUCUGCAUCCGCACUGGAAAGCCGGCGCUGCUGAAGGCUCCGUCCCGCCGGGUGCUGGGCUGACUCAGAGCUCUGACAGAGCGGCGGUGCGAUGACUUCGGGGCAGUCUGGAGGGGCCUGGAGGAGCACAUCUGG